GGCCACGUCACGUUAAAACAUCGGGUCCCGUACGAUCACCGAAGUUAAGCAACGUCUAAACUGGUCAGUACCUAGAUGGGUCACUGCUUGGGAAUAUCAGAUGCUGUAA